rnacentral:rRNA from 1 species
GACGUAGGGCGCGAGCGUUGUCCGGAUUUAUUGGGCGUAAAGAGCUCGUAGGCGGUCUGUCGCGUCCGUUGUGAAAACUCGAGGCUCAACCUCGGGCUUGCAGUGGAUACGGGCAGACUAGAGUGCGGUAGGGGAGACUGGAAUUCCUGGUGUAGCGGUGGAAUGCGCAGAUAUCAGGAGGAACACCGAUGGCGAAGGCAGGUCUCUGGGCCGCAACUGACGCUGAGGA